UAAAACCUUGAGCUUUUUGUGGGGAGAAAUUUGGGGCAUCGCACACGCCCCCCCCCGCACACACACACCUCAUCACCUCGUUUUGUGGCCUUGGCUCUGCUUCCUCUUCCUCCUCUUCCUCCUCUUCUUCCUCCUCCCCUUCCUCUCCUUCCCCUUCCCUCUUCCUCCUCCUCUUCCUCCCUGCUCUUUCCCUUCCCUCUUCCUCCUCCUCUUCCUCCUCCCUCUUCCUCCUCCCUUUCCCUCUUCCUCCUUCCCUCCUCUUUCCUCUUCCUCCUCCCUCUUCCUCCCUGCUCUUUCUCUUCCCUCUUCCUCCUCCUCUUCCUCCCUGCUCUUCCCCUUCCUUCUUCCUCCUCCCUCUUCCUGCUCCUUCUCUUCCCUCUUCCUCCUCCUCUUCCUCCCUGCUCUUUCCCUUCCCUCUUCCUCCUCCUCUUCCUCCUCCCUCUUCCUCCUCCCUUUCCCUCUUCCUCCUUCCCUCCUCUUUCCUCUUCCUCCUCCCUCUUCCUCCCUGCUCUUUCUCUUCCCUCUUCCUCUUCCUCCUCCCUUUCCCUCUUCCUCCUUCCCUCCUCUUCCUCCCUGCUCUUUCUCUUCCAUCUUCCUCCUCCUUCUCUUCCUCCUCCUCUUCCUCCCUGCUCCUUCUCUUCCCUCUUCCUCCUCCUCCUCUUCCCUCUUCUUGCUCCCUUUCCCUCUUCCUCCUCCCCUCCCUUCUUCCUCCCUGCUCUUCCCCUUCCUUCUUCCUCCUCCCUGCUCUUCCCCUUCCUUCUUCCUCCUCCCUCUUCCUCCCUGCUCUUUCCCUUCCCUCUUCCUCUUCCUCCUCCCUUUCCCUCUUCCUCCUCCCCUCUUCCCUGCUCUUUCCCUUCCUCCUCCUCCUCUUCCUUCUCCUCUUCCUCCUUCUCUUCCUCCUCCCCUUCCCUCUUCCUCCUCCCUCUUCCUCCUCCUCUUCCCUCUUCCUCCUCCCUCUUUCCCUUCCCUCUCCCUCUUCCUCCUCCCUCUUCCUCCUCCCCUCCCUGCUUCCUCCCUGCUCUUUCCCUUCCCUCUUCCUCCUCCUCUUCCCCUUCCAUCUUCUUCCUCCUCUUCCUCCCUCCCUCCCUUCUCUUUCCCUCCCCUCUUCCUCCUCUUCCUUCUUCCUCCCUGCUCCUCUUCCUCCCUGCUCUUUCCCUUUGCUCUUCCUCCUUCAUCUUCCCUUUCCCCUCCUCACUCUUCAUCUCCCCUCUUCCUCCUCCUCCCUCCCCUGGGAACCCCCCUCAUCCCCUUCCCCCGCCUCAUUACCCUCAUUAAGCUCAUUAAAUCAUUACCUUCCCCUUCCCACUGCCCCCCACAGCGAUGGAGACCUUCGCUCUGUCCCGGCCAUCCUCAUCCUCGUCACCCAGGGAGCCAUUUUUGGCCAUUUUUAAGCCAUUUUGGGCCAUUUUGAAGGCAUUUCCGAGCAUUUUGAAGCAAUUUCUGAGCAUUUUGAAACCAUUUCGGGCCAUUUUGAAGCCAUUUCAGAGAACUUUUCAGCCAUUUGGGGCCAGUUUGGAGCCGUUUUGGGCCCUUUUUAGCACUUUGGGGCCAUUUUGAAAGCGUUUUGGAGCAUUUUGAAGCAAAUUUUGAGCAUUUUCAAACCGUUUUGGGCCAUUUUGAAGCCAUUGCAGAGCAUUUUUGAGCAUUUUGGGCCAGUUUGAAGCCAUUUUGGACCUUUUUUAGUGGUUUGGGGCCAUUUUGAAGCCAUUUCAGAGCAUUUUUUAACCUUUUGGGCCAGUUUGAAGGCAUUUUGGUCCAUUUUAAUGCCGCUUCCGAGAAUUUUUAAGCCAUUUUGGGCCAGUUUGGAGCCAUUUUUGGCCUUUUUUAGCACUUUGGGGCCAUUUUGAAGGCAUUUAAGAGCAUUUUUAAACCUUUUGGGCCAGUUUGAAGGCGUUUCGGUCCAUUUUGAAGCCAUUUCAGAGCAUUUUUAAGCUGUUUUGGGCCAUUUUGAAGCUGUUUCGAGCCAGUUUGUAGCCAUUUUGGGCCAGUUUGUAGCUGUUUUAGGGCUUGGGCUGCUCCUCAGCACCGUCCCCCACGGCGGGGUGGGAGUUUGGUGGCGUUAAGGCCCCUCGGAGCCCCCCCAAAUCCUUGGCUUUUCCACCCAAAUCGCCGCCGUCGUCCGGGCGGGAGACGCCGUCUCGGCGGGUGGGCGGGGCUUCGGUGGGGAAAGGGGCGGAGCGAAUGCAAAUAGAGGGGCGUGAUGUGACCAUAAAAGGGCGGCGAAAGUUGGCGGGUGGGCGGGGCAUGCAAAUCGGGAGAGCGAGGG
rnacentral:lncRNA from 1 species